AACAAACGCUGGCGGCGUGCCUAAUACAUGCAAGUCGAACGGGGAAAGCUUUCGGGUGAGUACUAGUGGCGCACGGGUGAGGAACGCGUGGAUAAUCUGCCUUAGAGUGGGGGAUAACUAGUCGAAAGAUUAGCUAAUACCGCAUAAGACCACAGGAGCUGCGGCUCUAGGGGUCAAAGGUUUUUCGCUCUAAGAUGAGUCCGCGUAAGAUUAGCUAGUUGGUGAGGUAACGGCUCACCAAGGCGACGAUCUUUAACUGGUCUGAGAGGAUGAUCAGUCACACUGGAGCUGAGACACGGUCCAGACUCCUACGGGAGGCGGCAGUAGGGAAUAUUGCACAAUGGAGGAAACUCUGAUGCAGCGACGCCGCGUGAGUGAUGAAGGCCUUCGGGUCGUAAAGCUCUGUCGCAGGGGAAUAACACAAUGAAUGUACCCUGUAAGAAAGGAUCGGCUAACUUCGUGCCAGCCGCCGCAGUAAGAC
rnacentral:rRNA from 1 species